rnacentral:sRNA from 1 species
UGAUGAUAUAGGUGUCACAGAUUAAAUAUGUGUUCAUGCUUGCAUGAGUAAACAUAUUUAAUCUGAUGCCCCUAACAAGCAUGAGGAAGUAGGCAUAUGUGCCGGAUUCCGAAUGCUUGUAGGAUUGCGAGAGCGAAGCGGAGCAAUCCGUAUAUCAUCA